CUUCUGCAGCUUAGGGAACGCCUAAGCUUUGCAAGCGUCUACGCAUUAACUUAUUGCAGAGAACAAACAAAACCCCACACACCCAAUCUCAGCUGUAGAACAGACGCGCUAUACACAAACAAGUCCUCUCCCCAAGGCUGUCCAAGCCAGCUCUGGAGUCCCGGGGUGCUCCAGGAUUUUUCCCCUCUGCUGUGUCCACACCUCGGUGCUCCCGGAACUCCAAGGUCCAGCUCGGGGUUGUCAGGGAAGAAAGAGCGCCAGGCCGUGCCCCUGUUUGGUAUCUAGGCUCCUCCACCUCGAUCACUCUCCACCGAGUCCUAAAGGGCAUCCUCAAAUCAUGUCUGGCUACCGGCAAGAGAGGGCCUAAGACCCGAGCCCCAGCCCUGUUGCGGCCUCUCAGGAUGCCCCCCAAAAGAAAUUGGAGGAACAAAGGGGAUUCCCCCCCCCAACAGAAGCCGCAUAACCGUCAGUGGACAACCCGCAGCCUGAGCCAAGUUGAGCCAACCUGAGCGCGGGUGGAACAUUACAGCCCAAGGAGCGACUAGGCUCCCCCAGGCUCCCAGCUCCUGACUCCGGCUCCCAGCCUCGAACAGGGCAGGCUCCGAGGGGGCCCAGCGCUGUGGGGCCCGGCUCGACUCCUAGCUUCCAAAAGUGCCAGGGCCGCCUGCGAUAUGGGAUCUCUGGUGGGGAGAGUCCGCUGGCCCCUCGGCUAUAUUUGAGAUUUACUUUCAUCCUUCGGAGCCCAGAAAAACAACUACGGAGAAACUAGACCCUGCCACGAAAUGAUUCCAUUACUUCCCUCAAUUUACUCCUGGAGGGCUUGGCAAUAUCCCAGUAGCGCGCGGCCCACGGAUCCCCAGCCCCGGAGCAGCCUCUGUGGCUGCAGGGAGUCUGGGCCCACUCUCUGGGUUCACCGAGCACCCUACUAUUUGAGGCCCGGCGGGCUGGAGGAACGCGACCAGUGGUGAAGAUUCUCCAGACUGGAUAAAUAAGCAAAUCAAACACCAAACUAAUAACACGAAAAACUUAUUUACAAGAAAGAAAAAUCGACUCGUUAUAGAACUGUAUGGAAUUGGACCUCGCCUCGGAGAAACACUACACAAAAGCUAUCUUUAAUAGACGCCUGUCAUUUAAGAGCGGCAGGGACACUGUCCUUAAUGCGCUCACAAAAACAGAGCCGCAAUUGUGGCUGCUGCUGUGGUCAGGAUUUAUUUCUUCAAUUGGCUAAAUGGUUUCCUCCCCUUCCCUGGAGGUGAUAUCUGUAUUUUCAAAAUUCACAGCUACCGGCAGGACUGGCAGAACCGACCCCAACUUUAACACAAAAAUAAGAAGGGCUACAAAGCGGGGGAAAUAAAGUUAUUGUAAAUAAUUCCAAGUCACCACCUCCCCUAAUCCUCAGCACCGUCGCCGGGCGUGCGAUCGGCAGCUGACGGCCUCACAAUUGGUACAUCCUAAUGGAACUGCGAGGGAAAUGCAAUAAUUUUGCCAUAAUGGGCUGUAACCUCAAUUCGACCCCGGCCCUUUGCAGCCCGAGGUCGGAAGCGAAGCAAUGCGCCAUGCCUCCAGCGGGUGGCGCUCGAGUCCGACUGAACGGCGGCGGCGGGAGGCGGGCACGCGCCCGGGGCGCGCGCGCCACCCCUCUCGCCUCCACCCAACUCCCCCAUUAGUGCUCGAGUUUACCUCUAGAGGUCAUCAGGCAGGAUUUACGACUGGACAACAAAAGCACGUGAUUCGAAGUCGUACCCCAUAUUUGGGUGCCUACGUAGGAGGCAACCAAGUACAUGUCCCAGUCAUUUCCAUAAUUCAUCAUAAAUUGUGCAAGGGUGCUAUAGACGCACAAACGACCGCGAGCCACAAAUCAAGCACACAUAUCAAAAAACAAAUGAGCUCUUAUUUUGUAAACUCAUUUUGCGGUCGCUAUCCAAAUGGCCCGGACUACCAGUUGCAUAAUUAUGGAGAUCAUAGUUCCGUGAGCGAGCAAUUCAGGGACUCGGCGAGCAUGCACUCCGGCAGGUACGGCUACGGCUACAAUGGCAUGGAUCUCAGCGUCGGCCGCUCGGGCUCUGGCCACUUUGGCUCGGGGGAGCGCGCCCGCAGCUAUGCGGCUGGCGCCACUGCGGCGCCCGCCGAGCCCAGGUACAGCCAGCCGGCCACGUCCACACACUCGCCUCCGCCCGACCCGCUGCCCUGCUCUGCCGUGGCCCCCUCGCCCGGCAGCGACAGCCACCACGGAGGGAAAAACUCCCUGGGCAACUCCAGCAGCGCCUCGGCCAACGCCGGCAGCACCCACAUCAGCAGCAGAGAGGGGGUUGGCACGGCGUCCGGAGCCGAGGAGGACGCCCCUGCCAGCAGCGAGCAGGCGAGCGCGCAGAGCGAGCCGAGCCCGGCGCCGCCUGCCCAACCCCAGAUCUACCCCUGGAUGCGCAAGCUCCACAUAAGUCAUGACAACAUAGGCGGCCCAGAAGGCAAAAGGGCCCGGACGGCCUACACGCGCUACCAGACCCUGGAGCUGGAGAAGGAAUUCCACUUCAACCGCUACCUGACCCGCCGAAGAAGGAUUGAAAUAGCACAUGCUCUUUGCCUCUCCGAGAGACAAAUUAAAAUCUGGUUCCAAAACCGGAGAAUGAAGUGGAAAAAAGAUAAUAAGCUGAAAAGCAUGAGCAUGGCUGCAGCGGGAGGGGCCUUCCGUCCCUGAGUAUCUGAGCAGUUAAAGUACUGAGCAGUAUUAGUGCAUCUCCAGUAGUGUCAAUACUAAGGCUACGUGUGCCGCCUGGUCAUUCAAAUGGUCAAUUUUAGGUCCAGGACUGUCCAAACCACAAGUUCUCAAAACUCUCUGAAAAAUGGUUCCCUCCGAGUUAAGGGCCAGAAUAAAAAAAUCCGGAUGCCUGUUGGUCCCAACGCCCUUUUCUACCCCGGUGGGACUCGAACCCUGAGAGGACCCCAGGCCUGGCUAGACCAGAGGUCUGCGCGGAGCCACGGCCAGCCAGCUGCCCUGAGGCCUAGUCAGAAGUAGGGCACAAACAGGGCUCCA